CCCUGGCGAGGGGUUACUGGGCAGACCAUGCCAAGGUCUGCCUCUCCCCCGCCCCCCAACCCGGCCACGCAACUGAUCCGGUAUAAAGGGAGUCUAUUUGGGGGAAGGAGGGUUGGGCCUGGAGAAGGAGUAGAGGCGGAUGGGCAGGCAGGAGCAGAGCCAUGAGUGGGGGGGUGGGGUGGCGGGGGAGGGCGGGGGAUGGGCGGAGAGGGUGGAGGAGUCUGCAGAGAAGGACAGAAAGAAGGAGAGACCGGCCAGAAGCACGUGCGAUCAGGGAGAGAGCUGGAGUCCGGCCCACACCUGAAGCACCAGGUGAUGGCAGUUAAUGAUGAUGACGUAAGCAGUUGCUAGCAAUAGCCUGUAAACUGACAACAGAGAGCAGAUGUGGUCUCGAGCCUGCCCCAGCACCUCAUACACAAGCUACUUCAACAGCGCCUCACAGGAAACUGGCCGUGGCCUGUGUUCCGGCUCCCUUCUCAUCCCCUUUUUCAGUUUCCACAUCUAAUCUCCUCAGUCUUCACAGUAGACUCACCAACCGUAGAGCCGCAGAGCCAGAAAAAGAAGGCUAAGCCAUGAAAGGGAAAUUUAAAUCUUUGCUCUUUCUUAUCAGCAAACCCCAGAUGGGAGAGCAAGGGCUUGAGGAAGGACAGAAGGACGGCCAUAAGACUAUGCAGUGCUGUGUUCUUUCCAGAGACUUGGGAUAUGGUUGCUAUGGUGGGCAGCUGGGGUGGCUCUAGUUUUUAUCCUUGUGUUGGUUGGUUUCUCAGUUUGCUCACUGAAAGCUGUCUCUAAAGAUGUACUUCAGUAAGCAACACAAACAGGCCCGGAGUUUCUGGGUGUGAAAUACAGGAAGAAAUACAAAGGCCUAAGAACGGACUUGAGAUAUGUCAUAUGCCCCGCAUUAACCUGAAAUCCACAACCCUCAGUAAAGACUGACGUUUUACUUAUACCAUUGAGAAGUUCUCGUGCUCGCUUCGGCAGCACAUAUACUAAAAUUGGAAUGAUACAGAGAAGUCUCUCUCUCUCUCUCUCUCUCUCUCUCUCUCUCUCUCUCUCUCUCUCUCCCGGAGUGUCAGAACCCUUGUGAGCGAGACCCUGCACUGAAAUCAUCACCCAAUUCCUGGAAGGGUGGGAGGGUGCAAAAGCCACAGGCAACACGGCACUGAGCUAUUAGAGAGGCAUGCCACUUGGGCCAGCAAGAGGGCACACACCCUUAAUCCCAGCAUUUAGGAGGCGAAGGCCAGCCUGUGUUACGCUGACAUCCUGUCUUCAAAAUAUAAACAAACAAAUAUGGUGACCAUUGACAAAAGUGCUAAAUUUUGUCUCUGUGUUGGUGUCAAAUUAACUAGUCAAAAGAUCUAUAAUUAAUUGGAGAAGUGGAACAAGUAUUGUCUUGGCCUUUGGGAAGAUGAAGCAAGAGGGUUGACCGGUCAAGGCUAAGGCAAGAACUUGCCUUUUAAAAAAAAGUUAUAAUUAAAACAAUGCCCACGAGAUUUUAUUUGAUUAUGAAACCACCAUAUUCUAAGUGAGGCAAAAAGAGGCUUUACUUGAGCCCCUAAGCACAAAUCCUGCCUUAACUCCCCACAGUUAUUCAUUUCAGGGACUUUCCAGGACUCUGAGCCCCCUCCAGACGAAGGAACUUAAGUGUAUUCGCCCAUUCCUUUAAUCUCGGCACUCAGGAGGCAGAGGCAGGCCGAUCUCUGAGUUCAAGAGUUCAAGGCCAGCCUAGUCUGCAGAGAGAGUUCCAGGACAGCCACGGCUACAGAGAGAGAGAGAGAGAGAGAGAGAGAGAGAGAGAGAGAGAGAGAGGACACAAUAGUGCCAUGGAACAUGUGGUUGUUGGCCUCGUUCUCAUCUUCUCCAAGUAGAAGGUUAUGUAUGUGGCUUAAUGUACAGCUAAGGGAAGAAAUUCCCUGAGUCUUUGACUGUGAUAUGGGAGACUGGAAUACUACUAUGAACAACCUACCGGUCUGAUGCUGAGCAGAUCAUAACGGCUUUGUUCUACCCAUCUUCACACAGGUUCCUGCGCAUGCCCAACUCACCGUGCUGCUGGGCGCAUAGAGAGAAUACAUCCAUCCCUUUGCAUUUCUCAUUGACUUCCUACCUUCUGCUAUGACAGCUAUCGCGACCAAAAUCGUAGGUUAAGCCUUGAAAGCAAGACUAUUCAACCCAAGUAUACAUGGGCUGUAUAUCUAAGUUUUCUUUUGCCACAUUUUUAAAUGUUAAAAAAAAACAUAGAAGCUAAUUCCUAACAGCUCAUUUACUAUAACAUAAUCAAAUAGUAUUACUUUGAUAUUCAGUCAAUAUGUACACAAUGUAUCAACGUAGUUAUUUUUAUAUUUGCCUUCAAAACGUGGUAUUUUAUACUCAAAGGACAUCUCAGCAUGGACUUUAUAUAUUUCACAAGCUUGGUAGCCACGUGUGACCAGCGGCUUUACAACCCCCACCCUCACCCCACUCUCCACUGUUGCCCUCUGCCCUGUGUGAUUGCCAAAAGCAAUGCUGUCACCUUCUGGGAAGAUCUCAGAGACUCACAUGCAAUUAAAAAUGGCCGAAAGUCAUGAGGUGGGCUCAGGGUUCCUUCUGUGUCACCUCUAACAUUCCUGCUUGAUUUAUGCUGCCGGGAUUUUUUUUUUUUUUAAAGUAUACUCGUUUGUUCUCCUGCUCCAGAGGUGACCUUACAAUGGAGAUCAGCACAGUUUCUCGUAUCUGGUAAGCAUCCCUGAUUGUGGAAAUGGUUUUGACCUAGCCAACAAGACAGUGUUGGUUGUAAUUUGUUCCCAUUUGGUGGGUACAAUUGUACCCUGCCCCGUCUUGCCUGGGAAAUUUAUCUCCUCUGUCCUGCACCAUGUUUUAGGCCAUGCCUCUUUUCCUCCGUAUUUCUCAGGACAUCGAGACAGCAAACUUAACAGGACCGGAUAGCCAAGAUCUAGGUACAAGUGCUAGGAGCAAGAGUGAGUCCAAUAUGACCCCAGGGAUCCUUUAAGUGAGGCAAAGAGGCAGAAAAUGAAGACUUCUUAAUUUGAGGAUGGAGGUAAAUGCCCAGAGACAACGAAAGAGCGGGCUGCUGAGCCAGAAAAGGGCAAGACGGACAAUCCUCGGGGUCUCUGUGAGGAAAGAAACUGAGCCGACGCCUGGACACCACUCCUGUGAGCCUCAUCUCCAACCUCAAACCUCCAGUCCUGUAAAGAAAAAGGCCCCCACAAACUUCAUGGUCAUUUUGCAGCAGACCCGUGUUGUUUUCCACAGCCGAUGCUGGAAGGCCAGCACUUCCUGUGUUAGCCCUACUGUGCUAUUCUAGCCCAUCAGCAGAAACAAGUGCAGUCGGGAGAUUACAGGAUAACCAGGAAGUGGUGCAGAGCUCUGAAAAAGGAAUGGAUCCUGUGCCAUUAGAAUUCAAGUAUGAGAAAGAGGUCACUCCCAACUUAAGAAAGCUCUUGAGACCAGGGGGUGGAAAAACUAUGAUCCAUGGCAGUCUUGGAAGAUUGGUGAACAUAGACAAAAUUAAUAUACUUUUUAAUGUAUCAUAACCACUAAAUGAAAUGGAAGCGAGUCUGCUGGUGUUUAAACCCUUAGCUAACAUGUUCGGCUGCCAUCUAAGGUCUGAUAGCGCUCAAAAAAUUCUUUCCUAAAACUUACAAACUAAAAGAGAGUGAGGGAAGAUCUCUUUCUCCUGGAAGGCGUUACCUACAUAAGAAAACCAAGCUCAGCAGCUAAGAACACUUGCUACAUUUGCAAAAGACUGGGGUUUGGGUCCCAGCAUCCACAUGGUCACUCAUAACCCCAAUUCCAGGGGAUCCGGUGCCCUCAUCUGGCCUCCUCAGGCACUAGGCUGUAUCUUUACAUAGAUGCAGUCAGGACACUCACGCAUAAUAAGCAACACUUUAGAAAAAAAAAUCAAAACUGGAAGCAAAUGUCGUCCCCUGGCAAUGGCCUUGUCUAAGUUUGCAUGCAGCUGGAGAGAGUUUAGAAGGAGGGUGAGACCACUAUCAAAUGCCACAGAAGCUGAUGCAGGAGCUGAGGAUAGCCCUUCCAGUCAGCAACUCACUGGCCCUUCCCCUUUCUAAGCCUUUCUUGAUAACAAUGUCUACCCUCUCCGUAUCUGUGUCUAGAGGCUGAACACCCCAUUCUAGAGCUGAAUGCUCUCUGUCAGAGUCCUCCAGCAGACGAAAAUCAUAAUAGGGGCCAACCCGUGUCUAAGCCUCAGAGAGCAGCUAAGUGAAACCCUUCUCUAUGAAGAAGAAGGUAAGGUUAGGCUCAUAUGCAGAAGGGACUCAGACUUACUCCUCUAGCCAAAAGCUGAACUGAACUUGGUGUGAAGCUUUCUUGCAGUAAGCAAAGCACUUAAGACAAUGUUGACCCUAGGGGCAGACUCCGUGAGUUCAAAUCCCGGCUUUACCUCUGUCAGCUGGGAGAGCUGAACAACCACCUUCGCAUUUCCAGACUCAGCUACUCUCUCUAUAAAAACAAAGGCUAUUGCUGAGCAGGGGUGCUGAUGUCUUUGAUUGUAGCACUUGGGAGGCAGAGGCAGGUGGAUUUCUGUGUAUUCAAGGUCAGCCUGGUCUUUAGAGUGAGUUACAGUACAGUCAGGGCUACCCAGAGAAACCCUGUCUCGAAAAGCUACACAAACAAACAAAUAAAACAACAACACCCACAACAGAAACAAAAACUAAAGACUACCUUAGAACCCAUCUCACUAAAUUAUUAUUUUGAUGAAAUGAAAUCAAAGAAAAAGCAGUUUACUCACACCUCCUAGAGUAACCACUCCACACAGAACAGAAAACAAAGCCCAGGCAGGCCCUUCCUUCCCUUACCUUCUUCAAAAAUACUUCCCAAGCCUGAUUUUCGCUCUCUAGAUCCAGUUACUGAGUAGAGAUAUUGGAACUUCUGAGAGUUGAUUGUGAUUCCUCUACCCAUGGUUUUGCUCAAAACAGAGGCAGGAGAGGGAGAAGGGACAGAGAUCUCAGCUUCAUAACCCCCAUCCCACCCCGUGCCUGUUUGCUUGGGAUCGGAGAAGUGAAUACCCCCAGAGGACACACAGGCAUUUAAGAACUGAAGCAAGCACGAGACAGGUGUUAAAUGUGGACAGUUUACCUCAGACCCUGUCUUGUGUGGCUGCCUUCUCUUGCAUGUCUUGUGAUGUUGAGAACCAACAUAAAAAUAGACAUUAUGGAGGGCUGGAGAGAUGAUUUGGUGGUUAAAAGCUACUCUUCCAGAGGACCACAGUUUGGUUCCAGCAUCCACGAUGGGCAGCUUACGACAAACUGGCCCUCCAGUUCCCGGGGAUUCUAUACCCCCUUUGGGUGUCCAAAGGCAUAGGAGUCAUGUGUUCCCACACACUUACACACACACACACACACACACACACACACACACACACACACACACACACACUAUUAAAAAUUAAAAUAAAAUCUCCAAGAAAAACAGUGUGAUGGUUUGUAUAUGCUUGGCCAGGGAGUGGCACUAUCUGGAGAUGUGGUCUUGUUGGAGUAGGUGUGUUACUAUGGGAGUGGGAUUUGAGACCCUCAUUCUAGCUGCCUGAAAGCCAGUCUUCUCCUAGCAGCCUUCAGAUGAAGAACUCUCAGCUGCUCCUACACCAUGCCUGCCUGGAUGCUGCUAUGUUCUCAUGGACUGAACCCUGAACCUGUAAGCCAGCCCCAAUUAAAUGUUGUCCUUUAUAAGACUUGCCUUGGUCACAGUGUCUGUCCACGGCAGUAAGACCCUAAGACAACCAGUCAUUAUGGAACCAGUUACAGCCUGAUUUAUAAGGCUGUUUGCUAUAUCACCUUUGAGAGAGCAUGUGGGGAAUUCUUAUCUGGGUGGCUUUUAACUAAAGCCUUGGGCUAUUAUCUCCUGGACUCAGGGAAGUCUGUAACCAGCAAUGCUCACUGUGUGAGCAACUCAGAGUCAAAUAUUAUCAGUCAACAGGGAAAGGUUGGUUACUAUGACCUUCAGCCUUCCUUCCACCUUACUUAACUUUAAAAAAACCUCUUAUUUUUAUUGAUAAGAAACUAUUUCAAACAAAAAAAAAUCUAUACUUGUCCCUUCUCUGUAUGAGGGCAAUAGCUUUUCUCUGGUUAUAUUUUAUUUUAUGCCUAGGUAGCCUGGAGCUGCCAUAACAGUGUACCACAGACCAAGUAGCUUAAGCAACAGGAUUUAUUUCCUGCCCCAAAGUCCAGAGUCAAAGUAUCAGUGGAUUGGUUUCUUCUCAGGCCUCUCUCUUGCUUGUGGCUGCCGCUGCCCUUCCCAAAGCUUCCUGUGGUCUUUCAUCUGUGCUCUAAUCUAAUCUUUUCUUAGGAGGGUACCAGUUAGUGUUGGAUGAGGCCCAUGGUGACGACCUCACUUAGCCUUAAUUACAUGUUUAAAGGCAUUAUUUGCACACAGUCACUUCCUCUGGUGUUGGGGACAAUAUUUAUCCCUCCCUCACAGAUACACAGAAACACUGUACAGAGGGCAGGUUGUAUUAACAUAAUAUACGUACAGGGGGAGAGAGAGAGAGAGAGAACAACAAUUAAAGAAAAAGAGGCCACGAAUUUUUCUGAGAGUUGGGGAGCAUUGCACGUAAGGGUUUAGAGAAAGGAAAGGGAAGGGGGAAAUGAUGUAAUCAUAUAUAAUCUCAGAAAAAUAUUUUUAAAAGUAUGUGGGUUGCUUUCUUCUCUCCCUCCUCCUUCUCCCCUUCCUCCUUCCCCCCUCCUCCCCCACCUCCUCCUCCUCCUCUUUAUUUCAUAUGCGUUGGUGUUUUGCCUGUAUGUAUGUCUGCGGGAAAGUGUCAGAUCUCAGGGUAACAGUUGUGAGCUGUGUGGGUGCUAGGAAUUGAACCUGCGUCCCCUGGAAGAUAAGUCAGUACCCUUAACCGCUGAGCCAUCUUUCCAACCCCCACGGUUCUUCUCAAGCGUGUUCUCUAUACUGUACAUUAAUUGGCUAUGGCAUCGUUUAUGCAGUAUAUGCUUUAUGUUGGCUCUUUGUUUUCAAAACACUAUUUUUUUAUCCUUGAUGUCUUUUCUUGGCUGCAGCAGCUUCCUUCUUUAAUCUCACUCAUUUGAUUUGUUACUAUAUCAGAUUUAUCUCCAGAGCCUGAUCACUGUGAUUGGAACUUUCAAGAUUUCAAUACCAAUCUGGUAAAUACCAAGUGACUCCAUUUCUCUUCCAGGUGACUAGCCAUAUUUUUAAGUUAGUCCAAACCUUCCACCUAUACAAUGUACUGAGUAGUGUUUACACGUACAGUAUACAGGAUACACUGGCUGUUGAACGGCAGCCUUUCCUUUCAGCCCCACUGGUACAGCUCCUCUAGGCCUAUUUUCAGAACACUAAUGCAUUCUGCAUUACAUACAGUAUAUUACCAUGCAUUCCUGUAUGCUAGUUUUAUUUAUUUGUUGGCAAAUACUACAUUGUAUAAAUUAGGCUGGUCAUAGGUUGAGACAGGGCCUCUAUAGUCCAGUAGAGACAGGAUCUGUCCAUGGAGUCUGGAACUCACUACAUAAACUAGACGGGCUGCCUGCCUCAGCCUCCCAAGUGCUGGGAUUAAAGUCAUGGACCACAAUGUCUGGCUUCACUUUCAAAUACUUUUUUGCAGAAUAAAAACACUGCACUGGUGGUAGAACUUUUUUUUUUUCUGGUUCUUUUUUUCGGAGCUGGGGACCAAACCCAGGGCCUUGCACUUGCUAGGCAAGUGCUCUACCACUGAGCUAAAUCCCAACCCUGGUGGUAGAACUUUGACAUAAAUGUUUUCAUCUCCUCAAGGUUCCAGCACCAUCUCUUUCUGUGGAGAUCACAUGGGUGCGUGGGUUGGGAAGAAUCUGUUAGGCAUGUCCAUGAUCUAAGUUUCUUCAGGGAAAAUACAGUAUCAGAGCAGCAGGAAAAUCAUAAGAAGGGAAGAUCUACGACACUUGAAAAAAGUUAGGGAAGGCCAUUGAGUCCCACACAAUGCUAAAUUCUGUUAGAGGGUGACCCCAGGAGAUACUCAUGGUUAUAAGUCCCUGCUACGUUAUCUAAUCCCAAGUACUCAGCCAUAAACACAUGUACACAUGAGCAACACUAAAUGGACUCAGUAAUGUUAGUAGAGAGUGUGUGUGUGUGUGUGUGUGUGUGUGUGUGUGUGUAGCAAUAAUUACAGAAGUCAAUAACUCAAGAGGGAAUGAGGAAACUGGAAGGAGUUGUAUGGAACAACAGAAAUGAUGCAAAUACAAUAUAUAUGAAAUUCUCCAUUUUUAAAUUUAAAAAGUAAUUAGUUAUUGAAAUUAUUAAUUAUUAUAUAUUGGAGAUACAUACAGAGUAGCUCACACUUUUAAUCCUAGUCUGAUCUACAGAGUGAGUUUUAGGGCAGCCAGAGCUACCUAGUAAGAACCUGACUCAGGAAAAAACAAAUGAGGGGCUAGAGAAAUGGCUCAGAGAUUAAGAUUUCUGACUGCUCAUCCAGUGGUCCCAAGUUCAAUUCCCAGCAACCACAUAGUGGUUCACAACCAUCUGUAAUGAGAUCUGAUGUCUGAAGACAGCAACAGUGUACGCAUAUACAUUAAAUAAAUAAUAUUUUUUUAAAAAGGAAGAAAAAACAAAUGAACAGAACAUCAAACAUAAGAUAUAUACAUUAUAUUGGAUUUAUGCAUGUUUAUGUGUAUUAUAUGUAAUGGCAUGAAAUAUAUACUGACAUCUAUGUAUGCACAGAUAGAUGAUAGAUAGAAAGAUAGAUGAUAGAUAGAUCUAUGAUUGAUAGAAGAUAGGUCUAUGAUAGAUAGAUAGAUAGAUAGAUAGAUAGAUAGAUAGAUAGAUAGAUAGAUGGGAUAAUUGGGAGGCAUUCCAGUGUAGCAAAGGCUUUGACACAUUGCAUGUGCCAUAUCCCCACUCUACUUAUUCACAAGCUGAGUAACCUUGGGCCAGGCAUUCAAGCUCUGCACCUCAAUUCCUUCUUCUGUAAAAUGGGAGGAUAAUGGUGCCUAAGUCAUAGGGUGCUAUGAAGAUGAAGUGAAUUGCUACGUGAAGGAGUUACUGACACACAAAGAGAGUUCACCUACUAUGGAAGUUGUUAAACUGAUUAUUUCUGGGAAACAUUACAAGGCUACUUCUGUAGUCAGGGAAAUCGCUACAUAUUAGGACUGCCCCUGCAGCAAUUAGAACCAUGUGAUAGAUUUGGAUGACAAACUAGGAUUAGGAUCAACUUCUCAGAAAAAUUCCAAUUUUAUUACAAUAUUAAUAGAUAAGGGGGUGGCAUCAUUGGAGAAAGGAAGGACUGGCGACUUUACAGGAUCUUCUGGGGGGAGUGAUUGGAGAUUUGCCUUUAAAAGACUACUGCUAAAGCUGAUCAAUGUUCUUCUGUAGGGUGUGGCCGGCGUCCUGUCCACCUCUGUAGUAACACGCACAUGAGCAGUUCCACUGAGUGCCUCUGAUAGGCUGCCCUUGUUUGUCCUUUGGUUGAGCACCCACCAGGCAUGGGAGCCAGGAGGCAGGCAGGCAUCCUUUAGGAGAAUUUUCUUUCAGUUCAGGCUGGAGGAGAGUCUUUACAACUGCCAGUGCCCUGAACAACUAAGUCACAGUGUCUGGAAUGGGUCCCAGGCAUCUGCACUGUUCAAGCCUCCUAUGUGAUUACUAUGUGUGGUCAGCAUUCAUAACCAUUGCUUUAUGGGUUGUUACUUGAUAUGGUAAGGUAUUAAAAUUUAAUUUAUUAGGAACAACACUCACCGUACAGGAUGUUGAUGAAGAGAUUUGAUUAUUCCACUGUGCUUCCUGUUAUGGCCCCACCUUGGCAGGUACACCUUGCAUUUAAAUUCUCCUAAAGAAUAUUAAUUGCUCAAGCAGUAUUAAAA